rnacentral:misc_RNA from 1 species
UCCAGCAGCCGCGGUAAUACGUUCCCGGGUCUUGUACACACCGCCCGUCACACCACGAGAGUUUACAACACCCGAAGUCGGUGAGGUAACCGCAAGGGGCCAGCCGCCGAAGGUGGGGUAGAUGAUUGGGGUGAAGUCGUAACAAGGUAGCCGUAUCGGAAGGUGCGGCUGGAUCACCUCCUUUCUAUGGAGACUCGGUUCUGCAACGAACCAGUCAAGCUUCUUUCACUCGUGUUCAGUUUUGAAAGGAUAAUCCUUUCAACAUUUGUUCCUUGAAAACUAGAUAACGAAACGCGUAAAGCGUGAAACUUAGAAAUCCUUUUCGACAUCUGGUCAAACAGAUGAAGAAAGUAAUUUCGAGGUGGUUAAGCUAGAAAGAGCACACGGAGGAUACCUAGGCACACAGAGA